UACGUAGGGGGCUAGCGUUGUCCGGAAUCAUUGGGCGUAAAGCGCGUGUAGGCGGCCCGGUAAGCCCGCUGUGAAAGUCGGGGGCUCAACCCUCGGAUGCCGGUGGAUACUGUCGGGCUCGAGUACGGAAGAGGCGAGUGGAAUUCCUGGUGUAGCGGUGAAAUGCGCAGAUAUCAGGAGGAACACCAAUUGCGAAGGCAGCUCGCUGGGACGUUACUGACGCUGAGACGCGAAAGCGUGGGGAGCAAACAGG
rnacentral:rRNA from 1 species